AGUCGAACGAAAUCUUCGGAUUUAGUGGCGGACGGGUGAGUAACGCGUGAGAAUCUGGCUUCAGGUCUGGGACAACCACUGGAAACGGUGGCUAAUACCGGAUGUGCCGAGAGGUGAAAGGUUAACUGCCUGAAGAUGAGCUCGCGUCUGAUUAGCUAGUUGGUAGAGUAAGAGCCUACCAAGGCGACGAUCAGUAGCUGGUCUGAGAGGACGAUCAGCCACACUGGGACUGAGACACGGCCCAGACUCCUACGGGAGGCAGCAGUGGGGAAUUUUCCGCAAUGGGCGAAAGCCUGACGGAGCAAUACCGCGUGAGGGAGGAAGGCUCUUGGGUCGUAAACCUCUUUUCUCAGGGAAGAACACAAUGACGGUACCUGAGGAAUAAGCAUCGGCUAACUCCGUGCCAGCAGCCGCGGUAAUACGGAGGAUGCAAGCGUUAUCCGGAAUGAUUGGGCGUAAAGCGUCCGCAGGUGGCAAUGUAAGUCUGCUGUUAAAGAGUCUAGCUCAACUAGAUAAGAGCAGUGGAAACUACAUAGCUAGAGUACGUUCGGGGCAGAGGGAAUUCCUGGUGUAGCGGUGAAAUGCGUAGAGAUCAGGAAGAACACCAGUGGCGAAGGCGCUCUGCUAGGCCGUAACUGACACUGAGGGACGAAAGCUAGGGGAGCGAAUGGGAUUAGAUACCCCAGUAGUCCUAGCCGUAAACGAUGGAUACUAGGCGUGGCUUGUAUCGACCCGAGCCGUGCCGUAGCUAACGCGUUAAGUAUCCCGCCUGGGGAGUACGCCGGCAACGGUGAAACUCAAAGGAAUUGACGGGGGCCCGCACAAGCGGUGGAGUAUGUGGUUUAAUUCGAUGCAACGCGRAGAACCUUACCAAGGCUUGACAUGUCGCGAAUCCUGGUGAAAGCUGGGAGUGCCUUCGGGAG
rnacentral:rRNA from 1 species